CUUCAAAAAAACUUUUAAUUGAAGAGUUUGAUCAUGGCUCAGAUUGAACGCUGGCGGCAGGCCUAACACAUGCAAGUCGAGCGGCAGCACAGAGAAACUUGUUU
rnacentral:rRNA from 1 species